rnacentral:rRNA from 1 species
UACAGAGGGUGCGAGCGUUAAUCGGAAUUACUGGGCGUAAAGCGCGCGUAGGCGGCUUGCAAGUCGAUUGUGAAAUCCCCAGGCUUAACCUGGGAACUGCAUUCGAGACUGCAUAGCUAGGAGUAUGGGAGAGGGAAGUGGAAUUUCAGGUGUAGCGGUGAAAUGCGUAGAUAUCUGAAGGAACAUCAGUGGCGAAAGCGACUCCUGGACCAAUCUGACGCUCAUGGU